rnacentral:rRNA from 1 species
GAAACUUAAAGGAAUUGGCGGGGGAGCACAGCAACGGGUGGAGCGUGCGGUUUAAUUGGAUUCAACGCCGGAAAACUCACCGGAAGCGACGGUUACAUGAAGGCCAGGCUGAUGACCUUGCCUGAUUUUCCGAGAGGUGGUGCAUGGCCGCCGUCAGUUCGUACCGUAAGGCGUUCUGUUAAGUCAGAUAACGAACGAGACCCUCAUCCUUAAUUGCUACUGAUAACUUCGGUUGUCAGGCACAUUAAGGAGACCGCUGGCGAUAAGUCAGAGGAAGGCGAGGGCAACGGUAGGUCAGUAUGCCCUGAAUCUUCCGGGCUACACGCGCGCUACAAAGGCCAGGACAAUGGGUUUCAACACCGAAAGGUGACGGUAAUCUCGAAACCUGGUCAUAGUUCGGAUUGAGGAUUGAAACUCAUCCUCAUGAAGCUGGAAUCCGUAGUAAUCGCGGAUCAACAUCCCGCGGUGAAUAUGCCCCUGCUCCUUGCACACACCGCCCGUCAAACCAUGCGAGUUGGGUCGAAGUGAGGAUGUAGUAUUUUGCUGCGUUCAAACUUAGGCUUAGCAAGCGGGGUUAAGUCGUAACAA